rnacentral:lncRNA from 10 species
CGCUCCUGCCGGUAGCCCGGGACCUGCAGAGAGACCUAGGAGUCGUGAUGCCAUUGGCAGGUUGGGGAGCUCAGUGACCUCCCCACGGGAUGGCUGUGCCCAUAUCCAUGACCCUCUCAUCCACCAAUUAAGCCACAGUCCACCUGGCUAAUGCUGUCAAGCCCUUAGCACUGAGUUAAGUAUCUGAUUAACCUCCAUCGCAGCCUCUAGUUUAGAGAUGAAUCAAUUGAAGCACAGAGAGAGCAUCACAUGGUUAGUAAAUGGCGGGGCUAGGAUGGCACUCACUUCUGCCGGACUCCAGAGCUCUUCCCUGAUGGUGACGCAGAGUUGAUGAGGGCCCCUGUGUCAUGGCAGAGCACCUCACAGUCCCUGUGGGGAAUUCCAGGUGCCCAGGGCUGUCGUGGUUUACACCCUGAGAAUCCCCAUCCCUGAGCCUGGGACUAACCUAAUGCCCACCCCUCUCCAGCCCUAGGGGUGCUGUUGAUACACCAGUGGCCUCGGAGUCAGGACAUCUGGGUUCCACGUGGAUUCUGAUACCACCUUGCUGGGUAACUCUGGGGACUCUCUCUAAGACCCUGCUCUAUGCAGGGGAAGAGGAAGAAGAUGGUCUUAUCUUUCUGCCUCCAUUGUCUGUUCAUUGGGAGAUCUCUGCAAGGGUGUACCAUUCACUCAGCAAACACGAGUCAAUGACUCAGGUUGGUACAUGACCAGUGCCUGGGAAGCACCUUUCUUGAAGGCCUGGACUUAACCCAGAGAGCCCCACUUGAGGGGGCUGGGUGACCUCCCCUCCAGGACAGCCUGAAGCAAGAGGACACCUCCUUCUUCACACUUCCAGAGGAAUUUGUAUACUCUCCAGGGCCCUAAGAGAAUCCUGGUAAUUUGAAGCAAACGAAGGUGAUGCUACUUGAUGGUGAAUUAUGACCUGCAUGUGGGCACUGCUGUGUGUGGCGGCAGCUCAGGCCUCCAGAUGAACAGAGUGGCAAGAACCCCCAGGAAAGUGAGCAUGCAGUAGAGCCUCAGGCUGUUACAUAGCACCAAAGCUGUCACCAUAUUCCGUUCUGGAAACAUCCUCCCCCAGGGCCACCCUCUGCCACAGGGGUACUCAGGGGUGAGGCACCCAGCCCUUCCCUGCUCCGCCUUUCUCUUUGGUGUGUGCACACACACAUAUACGUGCAUGCAUGCACAUGGACCACCAGGAUGGAUUAACACAUGCUGGCAAAGAAGAACAGCCAGUGGGCAUUAACUAUUAAAAAAUAUUUCUUUCUAUUUACAUAAUCUCAAAAAUAGGGAGAAAAUAUUUUGUGAACUCAGAAGGGAUGAACAAGCCCAAUGUGGCUCUAGAGCCUCAAAAAGCAAGCCCAGCGCCCAGUGAGCUGUGAUGAUCACAGAAACACAAUGCAGCCACCCUAGGAACUGUCUGCAGGGACCCCAGUCCUGCCCUUGCCCAUGAGUUGGGUGGAGCUCCACCCAGCAGAGCAGACUUCAGGCCCUCAAAUUUUGGCUUUCUGUGCCAGGAGAAUCCCAAGACUGCUUGUUUGAGAGAGCCAAGGGGAUGCCACCUGGAGAGUCCUCUGCAGCCUCUCCUGCUGCUCCUCUCUCCCUGCACCCCUGCACCUCUACACUGGCCACACAGACACAGGGGUUCCUGAUAUGUAGGCUGAUUUCAACAGUAGAGAACCCAAAUGCAUCCAAGUGGAGCCUGCACCAAUGUGUGUGUGCAUGUGUUUUUGGCAUGUACUGUCACCAAAAGCCCUGGGGAACAUUCAUGUGUGUCCUGAGUGAGGAACAUGGGUGUGUAUGCUUAUAAGAGAGUGUGGGAACAUGUGCAUGAGCAUAGGUGUGGGUGCAUGGGCACUUGUCUGAGUGUGUAUGUCAGGGAGUGUAUGUGAGUGUGUGAGUGUGACAGUGUGUGAGCAUGUCAGGGAGUGUGUGAGUAUGACAGUGUGUGAGCAUGUCAGGGAGUGUGUAUGACUGCAUGUGUGUGUGUAUGUCAGUGAGUGUGUAGGCAUGUGCAAGUGUGAAUGUCAGUGUGUAUGCAUGUGUGAAUGUGAGUGCAUGGAUGUGAAUGAAUGUAUGUCAAUGAGUGUGUAUGUGUGUGAAUGUGAGUGCCUGCGUGGGUGUGAGUGCAUGAGUGUGUGUGUAUGCUUGUCAGUGUGAGUGUGCAUAUGUGUGUUGGUGUGUAUGCAAGUACGAAUGUGAGUGCAUGUGUAUGUCUGUGUGUAUGCAUGUGUGAGUGCAUGCGUCUAUGUGUGCACGCAUGUGUGAAUGUGAGUGCAUGAGUAUGUGGGCAUGUGUGUGCACGCCUGCAAGUUGAGUGCGUGAGUGUAUGAGUGUGCAUGCAUGUGUGCAUGUGAGUGCAUGUGUAUGCAUGUGCAAGUGUGAGUGUGUAAGUAUAUGUCAGUGUGUGUGUACGAAUGUGAGUACAUGAGCGUGUGAGCACAUGAGUGUAUGUCAGUGAGUGUAUGUAUGUGAAAGCAUGAGUGUGUGAGCAUGUCACUAUGUGUGGGCAUGUAUGUGUGAGUGCACGAGUGAGUGUAUGUGAGUGUGCAUGCAUGUGUGCAUGUGAGUGUAUGUGUGAGUCCAUGAGUGUAUGUCAGUGAGGGUGUGUGGGCCUGUGUGGGAGUGUUUGUAAAUACACGGGUAUGUUUAUAUAUCAGAAGCUUAGGCCCAUGAAGGGCCCAGCUGGGUGUCUUCUGAGUUUGUGUAGAGGACGUCCUGGCUUGCUGUGAAGUCUUCAAGGAGACCCCUUGGCUUGGGCCAGUGCAGCCCUGUAAACGUUCAGUGGCUGGCUCUGGGCAAGCUGCAAAGUGCCUCUGUGGCUAGUCUGACAAGUCCUUUGCUGUAAGACCCCUUCUUCCUACGUGCACAGCAUAGCUCGCCCCUAAAGUCUGAAGCCAAGGUUUCCUCCUGGGGCCUCAGCUGACAAUCCUGGGUGGGAGCUCCCAUCGGCUGCUCCCUCCCAGUUGGGGUGCUCGGCCCACAGGGAGCAGAAGGAGGGUGUUGGCUUUUUAUCAGUCUGCAGCUUUCCUUUAAGUCACCAAGCGCCUCCAACAUUCAAAGCUGCGUGCCUGCCACACAUAAAAGAGAUUCUAAUCACUACACCUAAUUAGAGGAAAGAGUACAUUGCGGAGAAAAAAAUUAAGCAGCGUAAAUAUAAUAAAAGGCAGUAAUUAACAGUCCCACAAGGCGGAUGCUGUGUUGACAGCUGAAGGAUGUAGAGAGGGGAUGGAAUGGAUCCACUUCCCCAUCAAAAAGAGCCGUGGCUGCCCUGGUGGGAAUCGGUGUGAAGUGAGAGCCCCAGGUAUGGGGCCGGAUUUACUCCAUGUACAAAUCUACAGCAAAGAACCAGCUCAGAUCCUCCCAGGAUGAGUCACAAAAUGAUAUCCUGGGGGUUACAAGAGUCUGACUCCUAAAUUUCCUUCUUGGAUUUAGUGCAGCUGAUUUCACUUUAUGGUGGUGUUUGUAAUUUUUUUAAUACAAGCUUUGAAACACCCUUCCUUCUAAAUCACAGAUCAGCCCUACAGCCUUACCUUCCUGCUAGAGGAAGAAAGCUGGAGAUUGCUGAAAUGCGUCAUGUUAAGACACCCCCAGACCUCCCCUCGAGUAGAGUGCAAAACCCACUCAACCAGGAUUCCAGCCAGUGUGGAAAGAAUGACAAUACAGAAGAGAGAAGCUCAAAAGUGAACAUGAAGAAAGAACUUGGGGUGUGGGGUAGCUACAGGAAAAGUUCUUUGUGGGACAGAAUCCCCUCUUGGAAAGCCUUGGUGGCCUGAGCUCACAUCUGCAUCCCUACUGCCCGCUCCAUCCAGGAUGGGGUUCUGCCAGCCUCACCAUCACUUUGUGCCUGCCGAUGAGGUUGGGGGACUCGCAGAGCAGCUGGACAUCUGACACGGUCACGGUGCACGGCUUCUCCCCAACCAGCACAGUGUAGUUCAGCUUCACGUUGCCCCCAGCCACAGGCGGGAUCAGGUUCUUGCCCUGUACAAAUGGGAAAGCACCAGUUCCCACCCCAGAGUGAGGACCACAGCUACCAGCUGGCUCUCAUGUCCUCCCACCUGGAGGUCCCAUCCCGCUGGUGAGCUGGUGAAGAAGCCACCUUUGGUAAUAAGUGCAAAAAAUAUUCAUGGCAUGACUACCACCAUUGCCUCUUCCUCCCAGUGGCUAAUCAGUUAUCAAAGUACUCCUUUCAGCUUAUCCCAAAUGCAGCCUCAGAAUCCUUCUCAAUGCAGAGUUGGAGUCAGUCACUACCAAUUGAUUCAAAUUGUCAUAAGCUUUAAUUAACCUGUAACCCAUGUUCCAAAGGAAGCCCUAUGCUGUGGUUCGCACAAGGCUGCCUCAGAGGAAGCAGUGAGCCUGACCUGCCAGUACUUGGACUUUCAGGACAAUAAAAGCUUGAGAGUCAAAUAGCCAAGGUGGAUCUGCCUUCCCUGGGUAGAACCGGCCCCUAAAGAGAGUUUUCUUCCCAGUACAGACUCAGAGAGAACAUUUAUCACACUCUGGGCUACACUGCAACCUCUGCAAGAGAUGCUGGUUGAGAAAUGUGGCAGGAGUCUGUGACUUGAACACCCCCUUCCAUGCAGCAGCCCCUUCUUUUCCCACCCCCGCCUCCCACCACCCUCACUCCACCUUUAGGAUGAUGGGCGUGCCAGGCUUGAGCUCCAGGAUUCCUGAGGGACCAAAGGCCUCAAACACCGGGUUGGGAUAGUAGGUGAAGUUGG